CGGACGGGUGAGUAACGCGUGAGAACCUGCCUUCAGAAUGGGGACAACAGUUGGAAACGACUGCUAAUACCCAAUGUGCCGAAAGGUGAAAGAUUUAUCGUCUGAAGAUGGGCUCGCGUCUGAUUAGCUAGAUGGUGGGGUAAGAGCCUACCAUGGCAACGAUCAGUAGCUGGUCUGAGAGGAUGAGCAGCCACACUGGGACUGAGACACGGCCCAGACUCCUACGGGAGGCAGCAGUGGGGAAUUUUCCGCAAUGGGCGAAAGCCUGACGGAGCAAUACCGCGUGAGGGAGGAAGGUCCUUGGAUUGUAAACCUCUUUUAUCAGGGAAGAAAAAAAUGACGGUACCUGAUGAAUAAGCAUCGGCUAACUCCGUGCCAGCAGCCGCGGUAAUACGGAGGAUGCAAGCGUUAUCCGGAAUUAUUGGGCGUAAAGCGUCCGUAGGUGGUUUUGCAAGUCUGCUGUUAAAGAAUGGAGCUUAACUCCAUAAGAGCGGUGGAAACUGCAAGACUAGAGUACAGUAGGGGUAGCAGGAAUUCCCAGUGUAGCGGUGAAAUGCGUAGAUAUUGGGAAGAACAUCGGUGGCGAAAGCGUGCUACUGGGCUGAAACUGACACUGAGGGACGAAAGCUAGGGUAGCGAAUGGGAUUAGAUACCCCAGUAGUC
rnacentral:rRNA from 1 species